rnacentral:rRNA from 1 species
UACGAAGGGGGCUAGCGUUGCUCGGAAUCACUGGGCGUAAAGGGUGCGUAGGCGGGUCUUUAAGUCAGAGGUGAAAUCCUGGAGCUCAACUCCAGAACUGCCUUUGAUACUGAGGAUCUUGAGUUCGGGAGAGGUGAGUGGAACUGCGAGUGUAGAGGUGAAAUCGUAGAUAUUCGCAAGAACACCAGUGGCGAAGGCGCUCACUGGCCCGAUACUGACGCUGAGGAGCGAAAGCCAGGGGAGCAAAGCGGG